rnacentral:lncRNA from 10 species
AAAGUUAUGAUCAUGGCUCUCCAAACCACCAAACCUCACCUCUAGCUUCCUUUGCAGUGUGAACAUGCCUGAGAAGGGAAUGCAUGACUGUUUUGCAUUUUGCACACCUCACUUGUGGGAGGCCGAUACACACUGGUUUUUAUUAUUGAAUCAAAUAAAAUUAUGUUUAAAGAAAUAUUUUUGAGUAAAAAAAUAUUUGCAGGUGAUUGCCAUUAUAAUAGUGAAUACUUUUACAGUACUGACGGUAAUAACAAACUCCUCCGAGCUAAGGGAGCAUGUUCUAACCCAAUGCAAGGAAGCUAAGAACCUUGAAAAAUGGUUAGAACUCACAAAUUCUUACCAUCAGUUCAGAUCUCCCUUAUGAAAUGUAAGAGAACUACUUAUGCUUACUUAUGAAAAGUAAGCGGUGAGAUUAUAUACUCUGUGUCUCUGUAUAAAGAAAAUCAACAUGCCUAAACUAAAUCAAUAGUCUCUCCUCUGCACCCACCCAGGCUACCGAUCCUCCAGUGUCCCUCACUGUAGUAAAUGUCACCACCAUUUAUUGAGUGGAGUAGCAGCAUCUUUUCACCACCUCUGUGUUCUCCACUAGACUUCAAGGUACUUAUGAAGAGGGACUAUGUCUGAGUUUAUGCAUUAUUAUGUUCCUAACACCUGGGAGAAGGUCUGGUACCCAGUUGACUCUUGGUAAGUAUUUGUUGAAUAAAUGAAUGAAUGAAUGAAUAAGUGUUUAAUAAAUAUUUGUUGAAUAAAUGAACAAAUAAGUCCUGAUAAAGAAGUGAAACUGCUGAGUUUAAUUAUUAGUUUCAUUGUUCAGGUGAAACAUUGAGAUGGAGCUGUCACUCCUCUCUACCCCAAGUGAAAGAUGCUGGGGGAAGCAGAAUCAUACUUCAGAAAAAGCCAAUAAUACCAUGUUCUUUAUCAGCCAUUUCUACCUGGAGGAAGAGCAUGCCUGGUCGCUGGAGAAUAAAGUCCUGGAACCAGGCCUGAGUGAAGAGUG